UACACGAGCGGCGAACGGGUGAGUAACACGUGGGUGAUCUGCCCUGUACUUCGGGAUAAGCCUGGGAAACUGGGUCUAAUACCGGAUAUGACCACUGAUCGCAUGGUCGGUGGUGGAAAGAUUUAUCGGUACAGGAUGGGCCCGCGGCCUAUCAGCUUGUUGGUGGGGUAACGGCCUACCAAGGCGACGACGGGUAGCCGACCUGAGAGGGUGACCGGCCACACUGGGACUGAGACACGGCCCAGACUCCUACGGGAGGCAGCAGUGGGGAAUAUUGCACAAUGGGCGAAAGCCUGAUGCAGCGACGCCGCGUGAGGGAUGACGGCCUUCGGGUUGUAAACCUCUUUCGACAGGGACGAAGCGCAAGUGACUGUACCUGUAGAAGAAGCACCGGNCCAACUACGUGCCAGCAGCCGCGGUAAUACGUAGGGUGCGAGCGUUGUCCNGGAAUUACUGGGCGUAAAGAGCUUGUAGGCGGUUUGUCGCGUCUUCUGUGAAAACUUGGGGCUCAACUCCAAGCUUGCAGGCGAUACGGGCAGACUAGAGUACUUCAGGGGAGACUGGAAUUCCUGGUGUAGCGGUGAAAUGCGCAGAUAUCAGGAGGAACACCGGUGGCGAAGGCGGGUCUCUGGGAAGUAACUGACGCUGAGAAGCGAAAGCAUGGGUAGCAAACAGGAUUAGAUACCCNUGGUAGUCCAUGCCGUAAACGGUGGGUACUAGGUGUGGGGCUCCUUCCACGGACUCCGUGCCGUAGCUAACGCAUUAAGUACCCCGCCUGGGGAGUACGGCCGCAAGGCUAAAACUCAAAGAAAUUGACGGGGGCCCGCACAAGCNGGCGGAGCAUGUGGAUUAANUUCGAUGCAACGCGAAGAACCUUACCUGGGUUUGACAUACACCGGAAACCCAUAGAGAUGUAGCCCCCCUUGUGGUCGGUGUACAGGUGGUGCAUGGCUGUCGUCAGCUCGUGUCGUGAGAUGUUGGGUUAAGUCCCGCAACGAGCGCAACCCUUAUCUUAUGUUGCCAGCGCGUAAUGGCGGGGACUCGUGAGAGACUGCCGGGGUCAACUCGGAGGAAGGUGGGGACGACGUCAAGUCAUCAUGCCCCUUAUGUCCAGGGCUUCACACAUGCUACAAUGGCCGGUACAGAGGGCUGCGAGACCGUGAGGUGGAGCGAAUCCCUUAAAGCUGGUCUCAGUUCGGAUCGGGGUCUGCAACUCGACCCCGUGAAGUUGGAGUCGCUAGUAAUCGCAGAUCAGCAACGCUGCGGUGAAUACGUUCCCGGGCCUUGUACACACCGCCCGUCACGUCAUGAAAGUCGGUAACACCCGAAGCCGGUGGCCUA
rnacentral:rRNA from 1 species